rnacentral:tRNA from 1 species
GGAUCGUUGUCCGAGUUGGCUGAAGGAGCACGCCUGGAAAGUGUGUAAACGUAUAAUUGCGUUUCGAGGGUUCGAAUCCCUCACGAUCCG